rnacentral:rRNA from 1 species
UACGAAGGGGGCUAGCGUUGCUCGGAAUCACUGGGCGUAAAGGGUGCGUAGGCGGAUCUUUAAGUCAGGGGUGAAAUCCUGGAGCUCAACUCCAGAACUGCCUUUGAUACUGAAGGUCUUGAGUUCGGGAGAGGUGAGUGGAACUGCGAGUGUAGAGGUGAAAUUCGUAGAUAUUCGCAAGAACACCAGUGGCGAAGGCGGCUCACUGGCCCGGUACUGACGCUGAGGCACGAAAGCGUGGGGAGCAAACAGG